GAGUUUUUAUUCCUUUAAAACAAUUUCAUCUAGAAACCACUGGCUACCUGGCAUUUUGAAGGCUUUCCAGUGGUUGAACAUUUACAAGAACGAUUUUGAACCGGUAACUGCCAACUUCCCAAUGCUAAUCAUUACUUAAUAUCCUCUGACCUGCGUGAUGUGGCCUUUUGUCCAACUUCCUGUUUCUUUAGUGCUCACAGUUCAGUGGCUUAAUUGUCCUUUUUACAACUACUCUGAGAAAGGAAAAAAAAAACAAGAUUUCUUAAUAGUAUUCCCUGGUUUGUGCCAAAGGACCCUAAUCUCCAAGGAGAGAGAAGCAGUCUUAGCUUGAGGAAGUGUCAAGAGCUCUUACAGGUCCUGGUCCUCAUCCCGUGUGCAAAGCCUGCUCGCCACUACACCCCAUGCUGCCUCCCAGCCCCCAGGAAAAGGGCAAGAGGAAGAGGACGGUGUACCUGUUACCACAUAUUUCCACUCCCGUGUCGCUGGUCACAAUCACGUGGCCUCAUGCAGCUGCCAGGGUGGCUUCACUUCAGUGUUCUCCAGAAAGAACUCCUCCCUCUGGUUGGCUUGCUCAGCUGCCUCACGGACAGAAUCCACAGCAUUUGAACAAGCAGGAAGAUUUUGCUUGUUUAGCAGGGACGUGAGGUGGCCCACCGUCCGCACCGUCCCCACCAUCCUGGUCGUGCAUGGCCCUCCUCAUCAUCUGUCACCUGGAACACUGGAUGGGCCCCUAACUCGGCUCCCUUGCCCUGGGCCUGUCUUCCCCUAAUCCAGCCUCCUCAGUGCUUUCUAGAAAGUACAUUUGACCUUGUUUCAUCCUCUGAACCCAAUCCCCCUUUACCCAGGCUUCUCCAUCUCAGCAAAUAACAGUUCCGACCAGAAAUGUGGGAGACGUCACUGCCUCCUCCCUUCCCCUAAUGCUACCCACACGCAUUCUCAUCCCCUUCCCUCUAUCUCCAAAUAUAUUCACCCUGAUCCAUUUCUUUUCAUCUCUGCACCAACUUAGUUCAUGGCAUGGUCACUUGGCAGAAGUCAUUGCCCAUGAGGACGUCUGUCAGCCUCUGCUCUGGAUCUUGCCACUUCCCUCAUUGCACUAACCUCCCAUCGGUUCCAGGAGUCUUCUAAACUCUUCCUGCUGUAGGGUCUUUGCACUUGCUGCUUCCCCAACCCCUCUUGGAACACUCCUUCUGCUGGUUUUCAUGAGACCAGCUCCUUCUCAUCUUUCGGGGCUCAACUAGAAGGUCACUUCCCUAGAGAGACUUUCCUGGGCUAUUCUCUCUAAAGAGGAUUCCUCCUUUUAAUCUCCAUCCCAGAAUCCUGUUUCUUUCCUUCCUGAUCCCCAAUAUAAAGUCUUAUUAAUUUAACGAAUUGAUUUGUAUACUUAUUUAGCCUGUCAUUGUCUGUCUCCCCACUAGAAUGUACCAUCAGGUACAUGAGAAGCUCAUCUGUCUUGUUCAACGUGAUAUCCCCAGGGCCCGCCACAGGCCUGCGCGGGGUGCGUGCUCAGUUAAUAUUUGUUAACUGAACGUAAUAAACAAA